rnacentral:rRNA from 1 species
AGUGAACGCUGGCGGUAGGCCUAACACAUGCAAGUCGAACGGCAGCACAGUAAGAGCUUGCUCUUACGGGUGGCGAGUGGCGGACGGGUGAGGAAUACAUCGGAAUCUACUUUUUCGUGGGGGAUAACGUAGGGAAACUUACGCUAAUACCGCAUACGACCUACGGGUGAAAGCAGGGGAUCUUCGGACCUUGCGCGAUUGAAUGAGCCGAUGUCGGAUUAGCUAGUUGGCGGGGUAAAGGCCCACCAAGGCGACGAUCCGUAGCUGGUCUGAGAGGAUGGUCAGCCACACUGGAACUGAGACACGGUCCAGACUCCUACGGGAGGCAGCAGUGGGGAAUAUUGGACAAUGGGCGCAAGCCUGAUCCAGCCAUACCGCGUGGGUGAAGAAGGCCUUCGGGUUGUAAAGCCCUUUUGUUGGGGAAGAAAAGCAGCAGGUUAAUACCCCGCUGUUCUGACGGUACCCAAAGAAUAAGCACCGGCUAACUUCGUG